AUUGAACGCUGGCGGCAGGCUUAACACAUGCAAGUCGAGCGGGGGAGGUUGCUUCAGUAACUGACCUAGCGGCGGACGGGUGAGUAAUGCUUAGGAAUCUGCCUAUUAGUGGGGGACAACAUUCCGAAAGGAAUGCUAAUACCGCAUACGCCCUACGGGGGAAAGCAGGGGAUCUUCGGACCUUGCGCUAAUAGAUGAGCCUAAGUCGGAUUAGCUAGUUGGUGGGGUAAAGGCCUACCAAGGCGACGAUCUGUAGCGGGUCUGAGAGGAUGAUCCGCCACACUGGGACUGAGACACGGCCCAGACUCCUACGGGAGGCAGCAGUGGGGAAUAUUGGACAAUGGGCGGAAGCCUGAUCUAGCCAUGCCGCGUGUGUGAAGAAGGCCUUUUGGUUGUAAAGCACUUUAAGCGAGGAGGAGGCUCUUAAGGUUAAUACCCUUGAUGAGUGGACGUUACUCGCAGAAUAAGCACCGACUAACUCUGUGCCAGCCGCCGCCGUAAUAC
rnacentral:rRNA from 1 species